rnacentral:rRNA from 1 species
AUUGAACGCUAGCGGCAGGCCUUACACAUGCAAGUCGAACGAGUGGCGGACGGGUGAGUAAUAUAUCGGAACCUGCCCAGUAGCGGGGGAUAACUACUGGAAACGGUGGCUAAUACCGCAUACUAUCGGAUCUGCCCCUAUCGGAUUAGCUAGUUGGUGGGGUAACGGCUCACCAAGGCAACGAUCCGUAGCUGGUUUGCGAGGAUGACCAGCCACACUGGAACUGAGACACGGCCAAGACUCCUACGGGAGGCAGCAGUGGGGAAUAUUGCACAAUGGGGGAAACCCUGAUCCAGCCAUCCCGCGUGUAUGAGAAGGCCUUCGGGUUGUAAAGUACUUUUGGCGGGGAAGCGGUAUCUGCAGAAGAAGCACCGGCUAACUACGUGCCAGCAGCCGCGGUAAUUC